AUCUUGUGGAAAGGACGAAACACCGUCUCUUAGCCUUCCAGACCGGUAAGCAGCCAUCAUUUAAAGAAAGCGUAAUAGCUCACUGAUCGAGUCGUCCUGCGCGGAAGAUGUAACGGGGCUAAGCCAGUUACCGAAGCUGCGGAUUUGCUAGCAAUAGCAAGUGGUAGGAGAGCGCUCUGUACGCCUGUGAAGGUGGCUUGUGAAGGCUGCUGGAGGUAUCAGAAGUGCGAAUGCUGACAUGAGUAGCGUUAAAGGGGGUGAAAAGCCCCCUCGCCGAAAGCGCAAGGUUUCCUACGCAACGUUCAUCGGCGUAGGGUGAGUCGGCCCCUAAGGCGAGGCAGAGAUGCGUAGCUGAUGGGAAACAGGUCAAUAUUCCUGUACCGAUGUGUAGUGCGAUGUGGGGACGGAGAAGGUUAACUCAGCCAACUGUUGGAUAUGUUGGUUCAAGCAUGUAGUCGUGGCUCUUAGGCAAAUCCGGGGGUCUUAGAUGAGGUGUGAUAACGAGGCGGCUUGCCGCUGAAGUGAGUGAUACCCUGCUUCCAAGAAAAGCCACUAAGCUCUAGCUGCACACGACCGUACCGCAAACCGACACUGGUGCGCGAGAUGAGUAUUCUAAGGCGCUUGAGAGAACUCUGGAGAAGGAACUCGGCAAAUUGACACCGUAACUUCGGAAGAAGGUGUGCCUUUAGUAGGUGAUCCCGUACAGGGGGAGCCCAAUGAGGCCGCAGAGAAUCGGUGGCUGCGACUGUUUACUAAAAACACAGCACUCUGCAAAGACGAAAGUCGACGUAUAGGGUGUGACGCCUGCCCGGUGCUGGAAGAUUAAAUGAUGGGGUGCAAGCUCUUGAUUGAAGUCCCAGUAAACGGCGGCCGUAACAAUAACGGUCCUAAGGUAGCGAAAUUCCUUGUCGGGUAAGUUCCGACCUGCACGAAUGGCGUAACGAUGGCCACACUGUCUCCUCCAGAGACUCAGCGAAGUUGAAAUGUUUGUGAUGAUGCAAUCUCCCCGCGGAAAGACGGAAAGACCCCAUGAACCUUUACUGUAGCUUUACAUUGGACUUUGAACAGAUCUGUGUAGGAUAGGUGGGAGGCUUUGAAGCGGUGCCGCUAGGUGUCGUGGAGCCAACGUUGAAAUACCACCCUGGUGUGUUUGAGGUUCUAACCUUGGCCCGUUAUCCGGGUUGGGGACAGUGUAUGGUGGGCAGUUUGACUGGGGCGGUCUCCUCCCAAAGCGUAACGGAGGAGUUCGAAGGUACGCUAGGCACGGUCGGAAAUCGUGCUGAUAGUGCAUAGGCAUAAGCGUGCUUGACUGCGAGACUGACAAGUCGAGCAGGUACG
rnacentral:rRNA from 1 species